rnacentral:rRNA from 1 species
CCUACGGGUGACAGCAGUGGGGGAUAUUGCACAAUGGGGGAAACCCUGAUGCAGCGAUGCCGCGUGAAUGAAGAAGGCUUUCGGGGCGUAAAGCUCUAUCGGCAGGGAAGAAAAUGACGGUACCCUGCAAAAAAGCCCCGGCUAACUACGUGCCAGCAGCCGCGGGAAUACGUAGGGGGCAAGCGGUGUCCGGAUUUACUGGGGGAAAAGGGAGCGUAGGCGGGAGGAAAAGUUGAAGGUGAAAUCUAUGGGCUCAACCCGGAACUGCGUUUGAAACUGUUCAGCUUGAGUGAAGGAGAGGCAAGCGGAAUGCCUGGUGUAGCGGUGAAAUGCGUAGAUAUUAGGAGGAACACCAGUGGCGAAGGCGGCCUGCUGGACUUUUACUGACGUUGAGGCUCGAAAGCGUGGGGAGCAAACAGGAUUAGAUACCCGAGUAGUC